AUUGAACGCUGGCGGCAGGCCUAACACAUGCAAGUCGAGCGGAUGAAUGGAGCUCGCUCCUGGUUUCAGCGGCGGACGGGUGAGUAAUGCCUAGGAAUCUGCCUGGCAGUGGGGGAUAACGUCCGGAAACGGGCGCUAAUACCGCAUACGUCCUGAGGGAGAAAGUGGGGGUUCUUCGGACCUCACGCUAUCAGAUGAGACUAGGUCGUAUAAGCUAGUUGGUGGGGUAAAGGCCUACCAAGGCGACGAUCCGUAACUGAUCUGAGAGGAUGAUCAGUCACACUGGAACUGAGACACGGUCCAGACUCCUACGGGAGGCAGCAGUAGGGAAUAUUGGACAAUGGGCGAAAGCCUGAUCCAGCCAUGCCGCGUGUGUGAAGAAGGUUUUCGGAUUGUAAAGCACUUUUAGUUGGGAGGAAGGGCAGUAAGUUAAUACCUUGCUGUUUUGACGUUACCAACAGAAUAAGCACCGGCUAACUUCGUG
rnacentral:rRNA from 1 species